GAUGAACGCUGGCGGCGUGCUUAACACAUGCAAGUCGAACGGAAAGGCCCAAGCUUGCUUGGGUACUCGAGUGGCGAACGGGUGAGUAACACGUGGGUGAUCUGCCCUGCACUUCGGGAUAAGCCUGGGAAACUGGGUCUAAUACCGGAUAGGACCACUUCUUGGAUGUUGUGGUGGAAAGUUUUUUCGGUGUGGGAUGAGCUCGCGGCCUAUCAGCUUGUUGGUGGGGUAAUGGCCUACCAAGGCGUCGACGGGUAGCCGGCCUGAGAGGGUGUACGGCCACAGUGGGACUGAGAUACGGCCCAGACUCCUACGGGAGGCAGCAGUGGGGAAUAUCGCACAAUGGGCGCAAGCCUGAUGCAGCGACGCCGCGUGGGGGAUGACGGCCUUCGGGUUGUAAACUCCUUUCGCUAGGGACGAAGCGUUUUGUGACGGUACCUGGAGAAGAAGCACCGGCUAACUACGUG
rnacentral:rRNA from 1 species